rnacentral:rRNA from 1 species
UACGUAGGGGGCUAGCGUUGUCCGGAUUUAUUGGGCGUAAAGAGCGUGUAGGCGGCCAGAUAGGUCCGUUGUGAAACCUGGAGGCUUAACCUCCAGACGUCGAUGGAAACCGUAUGGCUAGAGUCCGGAAGAGGAGAGUGGAAUUCCUGGUGUAGCGGUGAAAUGCGCAGAUAUCAGGAAGAACACCCGUGGCGAAGGCGGCUCUCUGGGACGGUACUGACGCUGAGACGCGAAAGCGUGGGGAGCGAACAGG